GGGUUGUGAGGUUAAGCGACUAAGCGUACACGGUGGAUGCCCUGGCAGUCAGAGGCGAUGAAGGACGUGCUAAUCUGCGAUAAGCGCCGGUAAGGUGAUAUGAACCGUUAUAACCGGCGAUUUCCGAAUGGGGAAACCCAGUGUGAUUCGUCACACUAUCAUUAACUGAAUCCAUAGGUUAAUGAGGCGAACCGGGGGAACUGAAACAUCUAAGUACCCCGAGGAAAAGAAAUCAACCGAGAUUCCCCCAGUAGCGGCGAGCGAACGGGGAGGAGCCCAGAGCCUGAAUCAGCAUGUGUGUUAGUGGAAGCGUCUGGAAAGGCGCGCGAUACAGGGUGACAGCCCCGUACACAAAAGCGCAUGUGCUGUGAGCUCGAUGAGUAGGGCGGGACACGUGGUAUCCUGUCUGAAUAUGGGGGGACCAUCCUCCAAGGCUAAAUACUCCUGACUGACCGAUAGUGAACCAGUACCGUGAGGGAAAGGCGAAAAGAACCCCGGCGAGGGGAGUGAAAAAGAACCUGAAACCGUGUACGUACAAGCAGUGGGAGCCCCACCACUAAGCCAGUGGUGAACUCCACAUACGCAUCCUUUGCUGAGGAUACGGUUAACGGAGCGAAAGCGACGUUCAACCGCAAAAGAAGCAGAGGGGGCUUAGUGGUGGGGUGACUGCGUACCUUUUGUAUAAUGGGUCAGCGACUUAUAUUCUGUAGCAAGGUUAACCGCAUAGGGGAGCCGGAGGGAAACCGAGUCUUAACCGGGCGUUAAGUUGCAGGGUAUAGACCCGAAACCCGGUGAUCUAGCCAUGGGCAGGUUGAAGGUUGGGUAACACUAACUGGAGGACCGAACCGACUAAUGUUGAAAAAUUAGCGGAUGACCUGUGGCUGGGGGUGAAAGGCCAAUCAAACCGGGAGAUAG
rnacentral:rRNA from 1 species